rnacentral:rRNA from 1 species
CAGCGCCACGAGUGGGGACCAUUUUUAUUGGGCCUAAAGCGUCCGUAGCCUGUUUAGUAAAUCUUCUGUGAAAUCAUUGGGCUCAACUUAAUGAAUUGCAAAAGAGACUGCUAGACUGGGAACCGGGAGGAGUCAGAGGAAUUCUGGGGGGCGCGGUAAAAUGCGAUAAUCCCUAGAGGACCACCUGUGGCGAAGGCGUCUGACUAGAACGGGUUCGACGGUGAGGGACGAAAGCUAGGGGAGCAAACCGGAUUAGAUACCCGCGUAGUCC